GAUGAACGCUGGCGGCGUGCCUAAUACAUGCAAGUCGAGCGAACGGACGAGAAGCUUGCUUCUCUGAUGUUAGCGGCGGACGGGUGAGUAACACGUGGAUAACCUACCUAUAAGACUGGGAUAACUUCGGGAAACCGGAGCUAAUACCGGAUAAUAUUUUGAACCGCAUGGUUCAAAAGUGAAAGACGGUCUUGCUGUCACUUAUAGAUGGAUCCGCGCUGCAUUAGCUAGUUGGUAAGGUAACGGCUUACCAAGGCAACGAUGCAUAGCCGACCUGAGAGGGUGAUCGGCCACACUGGAAAUGAGACACGGUCCAGACUCCUACGGGAGGCAGCAGUAGGGAAUCUUCCGCAAUGGGCGAAAGCCUGACGGAGCAACGCCGCGUGAGUGAUGAAGGUCUUCGGAUCGUAAAAAUCUGUUAUUAGGGAAGAACAUAUGUGUAAGGAACUGUGCACAUAUUGACGGUACCUAAUCAGAAAGCCACGGCUAACUACGUG
rnacentral:rRNA from 1 species